UUGAGACUGAGUCACCAGCCAUACCCUCCACCAUCUCUGAGCACUGGCUCACUCUUGCAGAGGGCCCGGAUGGAGAGGAAAAACGACUGGCUACACAUGCCCUUAUCCUUGGGGCCCAAAGUUGGUACCAAAUGGAUUUACACACCUGGCCCAAAGUCCACGCCUAAACACCUCCCUCAGGUCUCAUAACCACCUUGGCAAGUUGGAAUGGUACAAGGGGAAUUCAAGGACCCACUCUCAGGCCAGGUGCAGCCUGAAGCACAGUGAACAAAAGUUUCCUUCCACACAUGAAGAAGAGGAAAUGUAAAUGGAUGUCCAAUCAUUUGCAGUAGCAGAAGCAGGUGAAAGGUCCCUAGGAGAUUUGCAAGGUGGGCAAUAGUAGGUAAAUCCUCUUGUCCUAGAUCUUGUGGCAAAAUAUCUUGACUGGUUCCUAUGGCUAGUCUGGAUCAAUGUAUGGAAGAAUAGUAUCUGGAAAAUAAUGAAAAUGGGAUGUUUACAUCAGUAAGAGUCCAAGGAGGAGACUUAGGAUUCGUGGAGAACAGAUGAAGUGUUUUUACUGGGAAAGCAGGCCUAAAAUCAGGCCAAGAGGACCUGUUGGGCCUCGGCCUUUCUGAAAGAGGGGAGAAGAGCGUAGCUGCCUUAGGAGGAGACCAGGGAGAAGGCCUUUUGAUGGCUCUAUUGUUCCAAGCGCUUGCCCUACAAACACCACAUCCCUCCCUGUCUCUUCCGCAAGGGCAGAGCGGGAAACUGGGUCGGUCGGUUGGGCCGAGCUCGAAGUAGCUACAGCGCUGGCACCAACCUCUCGGCCCCUUCUGCGGCCCCUUGGGGCGGCAACGGCGCGCCAUUCCCGUCGCAGGCCCGAAACACACAAAGGAAGCCCCCACCCGUCCUCAGAUGUGGGGACACUCUGGGGAGGAGGCUGGCGUGGACCCCGAGUCUGAGCACCUCCCUCCCCCGCGGGGAACAAUAGCCGCCGCCUCCCCGGGGCGGCCGGGCGAUCGCGCGGCACAAAGGCCGGCUCCGGGCCGCGCCACCAUGUGACGCGCGCGCUCGUUCCGCGCUCUCCGGCCUGCAGCCGGGCGCAGUCAGCAGAGAGCCGGAGCGGCCAGGCUGCCUCAAUCCACCUGGCACACUUUCCGAAAGACAAACGCGGUUCCUCCUACUUCAGAGCAAGUCUGGGCCAGCUGGGAGCCGACCAGAAACCGCAAGCAGAGGAGACACAGGCACCCGGGGUGAGCGCUCACGGAGGGCGCGACCCGCUGCCCCACGCUCUGCGGCGCGAGGCCGGACACCCCCGCACUCCCUGUCCUCCCGGCCGCGGCCCCGCCUCCGGACCCCUUGCAGCCCACGGUUCUCCCAAGGGGCGGCCCCCGCGCCCGCCCCAGACGCACGGAGACUGUAUACUCUGCCCCCCCUCCUGCUCCCCGCCCCCCGUCACACCCUUAGCGCAGCUGUACCCCUGGAAAGGGAAGAGGAAAAUCCCAGGUUUUGCAGACACUAUGUAAGAGUCUUAAAAAAAAAAAAAAAAAAAAAAAAAAAAUUCCCAGGGGACUAGAAUUCAGGGACGGGGCGGAGCUAGUUUAGUUCUCUUAUUUACCUGCAGGAGUCAUUUAUUUGGAAGGAAGCAAGGGUAUCCCUGUUAAACUUGGAACUAAACCUGAAUGCCAUAUAAAAAGAACAAUAAAAAUACACGUAAAACGCCAACCAUAAUGAUACGCCUCUCCUCUCUUUUCAAGUGUGAAGGAAGGACUGGAGUAUUUUUACUUCAGCUCUUUUGGGGUUCAUUUUAGAAAUACCAGAAAGGGAUGGACUGAAAACUGUAAGCGUUGCUGGAGGGAGAGAGAAGGAGGUCAUUAGCAUUAGAGCUGUUUGCAGCAAGAGGUCAUGGGUAAAGUGGGUGGUGAAGCGUUCUUAUGGUGGUGCUCGUAGUCCUCGGUAAGUUCUAAGAAAGUUUCAGGCUACCCCCUCUUUUGCCCUCUUUUUGAGUGACAUCAGCUGAGAAAUUUCUGACGUUAGUUAAAAGUUGUUGCCUCAGCCUAUAGGAAAGAGCCCCUGAAAGACAAAAUCCCAGCUCCUCCCUCCCUGUCUUCUCUCUCAGCAUCCUCUCAGGUGGAAAUUAACUUGCUUUGGAGAGAUGUUCUACUAUCAUUUUACUUUAGAUAGAUAUAAGCUGUAGCAUUAAGUCUUGCACAGUGUCCUGAAUUCUUUAAGCAAUUACAAUACUGGUCCUCUUGUC